rnacentral:rRNA from 1 species
GUCUCUGCUCAUGAUUUUUUAAAUUGCUGUGGUAUUUUGACUAUACAAAGGUAUUGAAAUAAGAUUUUAAUUGAAUGCUAAGAGAACGGAAGUCCAGAAAAAAACUUUUUUUAAAUUAAAAAUUGAAGUUUUUUUAAUUUGUGCAGAAACAAUUAUUUAUAUUAAAGACAAGAAGACCCUAUGAAUUUAUUAAAUUUUUAUUUAAUAUGUAAUUACUAUUAGAAAAAUUUUGGCUGGGGCGGCUAGAAAAUAUUAUAAACUUUUUAAAAAUAAAAUGAUCCAUUAUUAAUGAUUUUAUGUUAAAUACUCUAGGGAUAACAGCGUUAUAUUUUUUGAUAGAUCAU